UGGGGAAUUUUGCACAAUGGGGGAAACCCUGAUGCAGCGACGCCGCGUGAUUUAGAAGGCCUUCGGGUUGUAAAAAUCUUUUCUAUGGGAAGAAAAUGACAGUACCAUAGGAAUAAGGACCGGCUAAUUACGUGCCAGCAGCCGCGGUAAUACGUAAGGUCCGAGCGUUGUCCGGAAUCAUUGGGCGUAAAGGGUACGUAGGCGGGUAAGCAAGUUAGAAGUGAAAUCCUAUAGCUCAACUAUAGUAAGCUUUUAAAACUGCUCAGCUUGAGGUAUGGAAGGGAAAGUGGAAUUACUAGUGUAGCGGUGAAAUGCGCAGAUAUUAGGAGGAAUACCGGUGGCGAAGGCGACUUUCUGGCCAUAACCUGACGCUGAGGUACGAAAGCGUGGGUAGCAAACAGG
rnacentral:rRNA from 1 species